GAGAGACCAGAAAUCAGUGCCAGGAAAAGAAAAGAAGAUCGGAUCCUGUUGUUUCUCGGUGGCAGAGAGUCGGAAGCACUAGUUCCGGCGGAUUGAAGAUCCACGGCUUCGUGGUAGCAACGCUGGAUCGAAAAUCACCGACGAAAGAAACCGGUUUCCAUCAUCGAUCCCUUUCCUGCGAGCCACCUGACCCGCUACAGAUCUCCCAAAAUGCUUAACCCUCCGAUACACCGGCACUACGUUAUCAGGUCCCGACCUAGCAACCUGACAAACCAGAUCUAUCCCCUCUCUUCUAGAUCUGAACAUUUCUAACCCCUCCGAGCAAGAACCCUUCGAUCCGGACUGGUGGAGACAAAUCGUGGCGAAUCCAGGGACCGACGGCUCAAUCAAAUCCACUGAAGCCGACCUCCACGACCGCCAUCUAAGAUCCACAGGAUCUACAGCUAACCACCAAUCGAACAGCAUAACCCACCUUUCUUCCCCCGACUUCCGCCGUAGCCGCAGCGGCCAAAUUGACGGCUGAGCCGCAAGAGUCUCUGUACCUCAACCUUCCGGCGUCCUCUACCAGUGGCUCGAGAACAGAACUUCUCUACCGCCAAUCCGGAUCCACAGCUACAUCGAGAGGAAGAGAUACCACACCGCUGCUGUCGGAGAAAAGAUCCUACUCACCACUAAACUCUCGUUGCAACCACAAACAAGGCCGACGAUGAAGAACAGAAAAAAACGAGGGGGAGGGAGAAGAGCAAACGCAAACCGGAGAAGAAAACCGGCUGCUGGAAAGGCUCCUCUCCCUCAGAACUAUAGAGGCGGUUAAGGUUUUGAAGAGAGAGGUGGGAGCUUUUUUUUUUGCCUCUCAAAGGCUUUUU
rnacentral:lncRNA from 1 species